UACGAAGGGGGCUAGCGUUGUUCGGAAUCACUGGGCGUAAAGGGCGCGUAGGCGGCCUGAUAAGUCGGGGGUGAAAGCCUGUGGCUCAACCACAGAAUUGCCUUCGAUACUGUUAGGCUUGAGACCGGAAGAGGUAAGUGGAACUGCGAGUGUAGAGGUGAAAUUCGUAGAUAUUCGCAAGAACACCAGUGGCGAAGGCGGCUUACUGGACCGGUUCUGACGCUGAGGCGCGAAAGCGUGGGGAGCAAACAGG
rnacentral:rRNA from 1 species